rnacentral:rRNA from 1 species
GCACGGAGUUAGCCGGUGCUUGCUAAGGAGGUACCGUCAAACCGCCACGUAUUAGGUGACGGGCUUUCGUCCCUCCCCACAGAGCUUUACGACCCGAAGGCCUUCAUCACUCACGCGGCGUGGCUGGGUCAGGCUUGCGCCCAUUGCCCAAUAUUCCCCACUGCUGCCUCCCGUAGGAGUCUGGGCCGUGUCUCAGUCCCAGUGUGGCUGAUCAUCCUCUCAGACCAGCUACCCGUCUAAGCCUUGGUGAGCCGUUACCUCACCAACUAGCUGAUGGGCCGCGGGCUCCUCCUUCGGCGCCAGCUUUCAUGAAGAGGCCGGCUUUCCCGGCAGGGUCCGAAGACCCCGCCGACGUAUGCGGUAUUAGCUAUCCUUUCGGACAGUUAUCCCCCGCCAAAGGGCAGAUUACCCACGUGUUACUCACCCGUCCGCCACUUUACUCAUGGCCGAAGCCACUUUCUCGUGCGACUUGCAUGUGUUAGGCCCGCCGCUAACGUUCGCU